GAUGAAGAACGCAGCGAAAUGCGAUAAGUAAUGUGAAUUGCAGAAUUCAGUGAAUCAUCGAAUCUUUGAACGCACAUUGCGCCCGUCAGUAUUCUGGCGGGCAUGCCUGUUCGAGCGUCAUUACGCCCCUCAAGUCCCCUGUGGACUUGGUGUUGGGGAUCGGCGAGGCUGGUUUUCCAGCACAGCCGUCCCUUAAAUUAAUUGGCGGUCUCGCCGUGGCCCUCCUCUGCGCAGUAGUAAAACACUCGCAACAGGAGCCCGGCGCGGUCCACUGCCGUAAAACCCCCCAACUUUUUAUAGUUGACCUCGAAUCAGGUAGGACUACCCGCUGAACUUAAGCAUAUCAAUAAGCGGAGGU
rnacentral:misc_RNA from 1 species